rnacentral:rRNA from 1 species
UACAGAGGGUGCUAACGUUGUUCGGAAUCACUGGGCAUAAAGCGCACGUAGGCGGCUUGGUAAGUGCGGUGUGAAAGCCCCCGCCUAACCGGGGAACUGCAUCGCAGACUGCCAGGCUCGAGAGCGGGAGGGGAGACUGGAACUCCUGGUGAGCGGUGAAAUGCGUAGAUAUCAGGAGGAACACCGGUGGUGAAAACGAGUCUCUGGUCCGCUUCUGACGCUCAGGUGCGAAAGCUAGGGGAGCAAACGGG